GAUGAACGCUGGCGGCGUGCCUAAUACAUGCAAGUCGAGCGAAUGGAUUAAGAGCUUGCUCUUAUGAAGUUAGCGGCGGACGGGUGAGUAACACGUGGGUAACCUGCUCAUAAGACUGGGAUAACUCCGGGAAACCGGGGCUAAUACCGGAUAACAUUCUGAACCGCAUGGUUCGAAAUUGAAAGGCGGCUUCGGCUGUCACUUAUGGAUGGACCCGCGUCGCAUUAGCUAGUUGGUGAGGUAACGGCUCAACAAGGCAACGAUGCGUAGCCGACCUGAGAGGGUGAUCGGCCACACUGGGACUGAGACACGGCCCAGACUCCUACGGGAGGCAGCAGUAGGGAAUCUUCCGCAAUGGACGAAAGUCUGACGGAGCAACGCCGCGUGAGUGAUGAAGGCUUUCGGGUCGUAAAACUCUGUUGUUAGGGAAGAACAAGUGCUAGUUGAAUAAGCUGGCACCUUGACGGUACCUAACCAGAAAGCCACGGCUAACUACGUGCCAGCCGCCGCCGUAA
rnacentral:rRNA from 1 species